rnacentral:rRNA from 1 species
GAUGAACGCUGGCGGCGUGCCUAAUACAUGCAAGUCGAGCGAACAGACGAGGAGCUUGCUCCUCUGACGUUAGCGGCGGACGGGUGAGUAACACGUGGAUAACCUACCUAUAAGACUGGGAUAACUUCGGGAAACCGGAGCUAAUACCGGAUAAUAUAUUGAACCGCAUGGUUCAAUAGUGAAAGACGGUUUUGCUGGCACUUAUAGAUGGAUCCGCGCCGCAUUAGCUAGUUGGUAAGGUAACGGCUUACCAAGGCAACGAUGCGUAGCCGACCUGAGAGGGUGAUCGGCCACACUGGAACUGAGACACGGUCCAGACUCCUACGGGAGGCAGCAGUAGGGAAUCUUACGCAAAGGGCGAAAGCCUGACGGAGCAACGCCGCGUGAGUGAUGAAGGUCUUCGGAUCGUAAAACUCUGUUAUUAGGGAAGAACAAAUGUGUAAGUAAAUAUGCACGUCUUGACGGUACCUAAUAAGAAAGCCACGGCUAACUACGUG